rnacentral:misc_RNA from 1 species
AGCAUCUGGGGUCAAAGUUCCUGAACCUUCGUGUGAUCCCCAUUCAUGAGUGGAGAGGCUAUCAAGGUUCAAGAGUUUUGGAGGGUCAGCCAUUUGGAACUCAAGAAAGUGAGGGCCGCCAGCAGUGAACUCACCAUCGGGGAAAGGAGAUGAUGUGCCUGAUCCAGAUAUGCCUGAACUAGGUGAAAUCAACUGGCCAACUGGGCUUCCUGGAUAAAAUUGGUAAGACUGAAAUUCAUAGUUUGAUAAUGGGAAUCGCAGACCAGCCUCGCCAUUUCUGACACUGGGGUCAAGUAGCUGAGCAAAAGGUACCUCGGGUGAGGAUGGUGUAGUCAAGUGUACAGACUCAGGAGGUGGAGUGAAAGGAGCAGUUGAUGGUUCAGUUGUGAAAGUUGAGAAUACAGGUGGUGAGACUAACUGGGUUUCGUGGGCAUAAGGGCCAAUAGCAAAAAUGGAGGCAGGCCCACUGGGAGAGUAAAUAUUGGCAGAUAUAGAGGUGCGAGACAGUACACCAGCUGGUGACUGUGAAGCAGAAGGAGUUUCUGAUUGAAGGAAAGAUGCAGGAGAUGAGGGAGGUGCAACAAAGGGAAGUGUGAUGGAAGGUUCUUGGGUUGGAUUUUCAGCUACAGAAGUAUCAUUUCCAGGAGCAGAUGUUUCAGGAA